UGUGGGGUGUACAAAAUCAAGGGGGGAGUCCGGUUCCUCUCUCCAGUGAAGGAGUAACGUAGAUGUGCUUCAGGCCAACAGGGCUUAGCAAGGAAGCUGAGCCUGAGGAAAUCUGCCUUCAUUUUCUUACCAGGAGCCCCAUCACCUACAUUGCACACUCGACUCCGGGUGCCAGAAGGCACCAGGAGAAGCCAGUGGAAGCGCUGAGAUCAUCCUGAGAUAAAGCACCAAAGCUCCCAGGGCCAGGCUCUUGCCUUCGAUGCCAGCUUAUCUGGUGUCAUGCCAAAAGGAGGAAAAGACAGGUGUGUACAAACAUUAUAAAACUAAUUCUUGGAACUGGAACUACUUGCUGAAAAAAGUUAUUCCAGCUUGUGCUCCCACCUGUAGGGAGAAUGUUCCUUUCCAGCUAACCUGUAAGCCAGCUCUUUUUAUAAGCAAAAUGUGCUCUAAUCGCUGUUUUCUAACAUGGAGAACCCAGUGUGCCAGGAACUUCACAUACACAGUUGGAACUGAUUUGAUUUAAUUUCCUUCUUGAAACAAUAAUGAGGUAAGGAUUUCUAACCUUUUUAUAAUUGAAAAACAAAACGUGCGUUAGCUGUGUGCCUUAGGCAAAAGAUUUAAGUGCCCUGUGCUUCUAGAACACAAGUGAUGAUACUGUCCUUACCUACUACUUGGGUGCUAUGGCGUUUUAUGUGCCAAUUUAGGUAGGCUCUAUAGUCCCCUUUAUUCAAUCAAACAGUAACGUAGGUGUUGUCAUGCAGGUAUUUUAAAGCUGUGAUUAAAACCCGUCUCAGUUGACUUUAUUGUUUCUUUUGUUUUCAUAUCAGUUGACUUUAAGUAAAGGAGAUUGUUUUGGAUAGUUUGGGCGGGUCUGAUUUAAUUCGUCGAAGCAUCUUAA